rnacentral:rRNA from 1 species
UGAGGAAUAUUGGGUCAAUGGGCGGAAGCCUGAACCAGCCAUGCCGCGUGAAGGAAUAAGGCCCUAUGGGUCGUAAACUUCUUUUGUACGGGAGCAAUAAGUCUCACGUGUGGGACGAUGAGAGUACCGUACGAAUAAGCAUCGGCUAACUCCGUGCCAGCAGCCGCGGUAAUACGGAGGAUGCGAGCGUUAUCCGGAUUUAUUGGGUUUAAAGGGUGCGUAGGCGGCUUGGUAAGUCAGCGGUGAAAUGUCGGGGCUCAACCUCGGAACUGCCGUUGAUACUGUCAGGCUUGAAUGCGGAUGCCGUGGGAGGAAUGUGUGGUGUAGCGGUGAAAUGCAUAGAUAUCACACAGAACACCGAUUGCGAAGGCAUCUCACGAAUCCGCGAUUGACGCUGAGGCACGAAAGUGCGGGGAGCAAACAGGAUUAGAUACCCUGGUAGU